rnacentral:rRNA from 1 species
AGCAUAUAAGUAAGUGGUGGAAAUUAAANCAAAUGGGAUAUCUUUAGUAAUUGCGAAUGAACAAGGAUAUGCUUAGCUUGACAAAUGGAGCUAUUGGCUUUGAAUUGUAUUGUGGAAAUGUAUUACCAACAGAGGUGCAGGUGCCAGCCUAUUGAAAUAAAGCGUCAAUGAGGGUGAGAAUCCUGUUUGUCAUGUGCAGCCCUUUGUGCACGGUGUAUAUUUGCUGAGUCACACUCCUUGGCAUUGGAAUGCAAAGUGGGUGGUAAGUUUCAUGUAAAGGUAAACAUGCAAUUGAGACUGAUAGCACACAAGUACCAUGAGGGAAAUAUGAAAAGGACUUUGAAAAGANAAUUAAAUGAGUUUGUAUUUGCUGAACACAAAGUAAACAGACUUGAUUUGCUUGGNGGGAGUGUUGCACUUGCUUGACAAGAGCUUUGGGCUGUGGGUGUAAUGAUUCUUUCUUNGCAUGCCAGUUUCUAUUUGUACAUCUGAUUACCUUUGCACAUGAAUGAUAAGUCUCCUGNGGGGGGNGGAUUGCAUGUGCAUGUAAUGAUUUGUGUUUUGAUAAAUGUGUCUGGUGUAUGUGUGUGUUCCUGUGCUUGGGGAUGCUUCCUUCCUUGGACUUACAAGCCCUGACACACACAUGCUGGCAAAAUGCUCUGCUUGACCCGUCU